rnacentral:rRNA from 1 species
AGCGAACGCUGGCGGCGUGCUUAACACAUGCAAGUCGCGCGGGAAAGAGACUUUCGGGUCUUGAGUAGAGCGGCGGACGGGUGCGUAAGACGCGGGUGACCUAUCCGAGAGGCGGGGAUAACCCAGCGAAAGGCGGGGACUAAUACCGGAUGAGCCCCCAGGCGGAAACGCGCGGGGGCAAAGGAUGCUACUCGAUAGUGGCAUGUCCUCGACGGAGGGG